UGGGGAAUUUUGGACAAUGGGGGCAACCCUGAUCCAGCCAUGCCGCGUGAGUGAAGAAGGCCUUCGGGUUGUAAAGCUCUUUCGGCGGGGACAAAAAGGCGACCGUGAAUAACGGUUGUUCAUGAUGGUACCCGAAGAAGAAGCACCGGCUAACUACGUGCCAGCAGCCGCGGUAAUACGUAGGGUGCGAGCGUUAAUCGGAAUUACUGGGCGUAAAGCGUGCGCAGGUGGUUUCGUAAGUCAGAUGUGAAAUCCCCGGGCUUAACCUGGGAAUGGCAUUUGAGACUGCGAAGCUAGAGUACGGCAGAGGGAGGUGGAAUUCCACGUGUAGCAGUGAAAUGCGUAGAUAUGUGGAGGAACACCGAUGGCGAAGGCAGCCUCCUGGGCCAGUACUGACGCUCAUGCACGAAAGCGUGGGGAGCAAACAGGAUUAGAUACCCCCGUAGUCC
rnacentral:rRNA from 1 species